GUGGAUUAGAUACCCUGGUAGUCCACGCCGUAAACGAUGGGCACUAGGUGUAGGGGGUGUCGACUCCCCCUGUGCCGAAGCUAACGCAUUAAGUGCCCCGCCUGGGGAGUACGGCCGCAAGGCUAAAACUCAAAGGAAUUGACGGGGGCCCGCACAAGCAGCGGAGCAUGUGGUUUAAUUGGACGCAACGCCAAGAACCUUACCUGGGCUUGACAUGUUCCUGACCGGCCUGGAAACAGGUCUUCCCUUCGGGGCAGGAUCACAGGUGGUGCACGGUCGUCGUCAACU
rnacentral:rRNA from 1 species